GGAAGGGGCGGGUCAGCGGGCGGGCAUUUCCUGCCGGUGCCUAGGGCCGAAGGGGACGCUGGCACUGGUGGGGAGCUGUUGGGGGGUCCCGCAUCUAGGGCUCUCCUUUCCUGCCUCCGGCCCCCGCGAGGGGCGCGCGCCUCUCCCCGCCCUCCAGCAGUCCUGGUAGGGCCCGGGCGCGUCCGCGCUGUGCAGCGGGAGGUCCUCGUCGCUCCUCGUCUCCAGCCAGGUACUCACUGGGCUCCUGCCUGCCGCCUCCGGCCCAGGACGCGCAGCGUCGGUAUGGGCCCCGCCGCCUCCCCGCACACCGGCGCUCCAGAGAUGUGGCAAGACCCGGCUUUGAGCACCUGCCGGGCGCCGGCCCUGAGGCCGACCUAGCUCCGCACGCGGGCCGCGGGGCUCUGCCGUUGAAAAGGGGAGCCUCUAACUAGGAGCACGCACGGGACCCUGGCGGGCCCCUCCGCCUGGCUCAGAUGCCUGGCAUCUCAGGCCUUGGCACAGCUGGCAGGCCGCGAACCCAGCAGGCUGUUUUAGUGCAGAUUGCCCCUGAAUCUCAAGCCCACUAAUGUUCCAGUCUCUCCAUGAGACCCAGAUCCCUGAAAGUAGUGGACGGAGGCGCCAGGGUGAGUGAGGUUUUCUAGGCAGCCCUUACCGCCCACGGAUACCCAGAGCUUCAUAUUACAAGUGAAGGGUCCUCCGCCCAGAGAGGCGACGGAGCUGCGCUGGAGUUGCACGACAGAACCAGAACCCCAGUCUUCAGGGGUGUGGCAAGCGUGGGUUGCGCUGUUUGUAACUAGCUAAUCACUCCUGUCUACAGGCCUGUGAGGUGAGGCCAAGAAAAUCGCUAUGGUCCAAUCCGUUUUUGGUUUUUGCGUGUGGGGUUUUUUGUUUUGGUUUGGUUUGGUUUUUUUGUUUGUUUUGAGACGGAGUCUUGUUCUGUCGCCAGGCAGGAGUGCACUGGCGCGACCUUUGCUCACUGCAACUUCUGUCUCCUGCGUUCAGGCAAUUCCCCUCCCUCAGCCUCAUGAGUAGCUAGGACUACAGGCACGUGCCACCACGCCCAGCUAAUUUUUUGUAUUUUGGUAGGGACAGGGUUUCACCAUGUUGGCCAGGAUGGUCUCAAUCUCCUGACCUCGUGAUCCGCCCGCCUCGGCCUCCCAAAGUGCUGGGAUUACAGGCGUGAGCCACCGCGCCCGGCCAGUCCACUCUGUUUUUAACAAAUAUUUUAUUUCUGAGGGUGGGCAGCGUGUAGAGAAGUGAGUCAUUCCAGUCUCUGCCAGUUAGCACCUGCCAGCCUAAGUUGAGUCGACAGAGCCAUUAUGGAGAAUGUUCCCUGACCACAGUAUGUGACUAGGAUUUGGAGAUAAAAAAGAUAUGAUCCUCACCUUCAGGAGCCCCUGUCGCAUAAGGAGACUGCCAUGUCAGUGACCAGCCACACGUGCAGUGACAAGUGUCUGGAAGAAGGAACAGUGCUAUACAGCACGGAGGACCCCCACACAGGCCCUGGACAGCAGGCGUCAGCACCAAGAGGAUGGUGGCCCUCAGCCUCCUGGUGCAGAGCAUCAGUCCCACGCUGGGAGUGUGGAGAGGUGCGUGGGAAGCAAGGCAUUGAGGAAGUGGGGCCAACAGAGAGGUCAGCAGCCCCUUAGCCCUCACGCUUCCAAGGAACAGAACGAUGGAGAAGCCUGCAGGCAGAAAAAAGAAGACGCCGACCCCGAGGGAGGAGGCAGACGUGCAGAAGAGCGCGCUCAGAGAGGAGAAGGUGUCUGGGGACAGAAAGCCACCUGAGUGGCCCACUGUGCCCAGGAAGCCCCGCACAGAGCCCUGCCUGAGUCCUGAGGACGAAGAGCACGUCUUUGAUGCCUUCGACGCUUCAUUUAAAGAUGACUUCGAGGGGGUUCCCGUGUUCAUUCCUUUUCAGAGGAAGAAACCCUAUGAGUGCAGUGAGUGUGGGCGGAUCUUUAAGCACAAGACAGACCACAUUCGCCAUCAGAGGGUCCACACUGGAGAGAAGCCCUUCAAGUGUGCGCAGUGCGGGAAGGCCUUCCGGCACAGCUCUGACGUCACCAAACACCAGAGGACUCACACGGGAGAGAAGCCCUUCAAAUGCGGGGAGUGUGGGAAAGCCUUUAACUGCGGCUCCAAUCUCCUGAAACAUCAGAAGACGCACACCGGGGAGAAGCCCUACGAAUGCACGGACUGUGGGAAAGCCUUUGCCUACAGCUCCUGUCUCAUCCGCCAUCGGAAACGCCACCCUCGGAAGAAGCCCUGAGCCGGGGCCAUCUGCGGACUCGGGCCCUGCAGUGCAAGCCUCGCCGGAUACCUGCUCCGUGGCUCCCUCGUGUUCAGCGUCUGAUGGGGGCACAGGGCCGUGUGCACUGUGUUCCGUGCCCUGGGGACCCCCGGAAAAUCAGCCCAGUCAGAUGUGGGAACGUGCCAACGAGUGAGAGACCUUUCCACUGCAGAGAAUCUUUGAUCAAGACACUGCAGUGACGUAGAAGCCACCAGAGGCUCCUUGCAGCCGCAGAGCAUUUUCCAAGUUCCCGAUGGCGAACGGGGCUCAGCACCAGAGACCAGGGGGUAUUCACUGCCAUCCAUUGGACGUGUUUGGGUCACCUCAGAGCACCCAGCAGGAGAGGCUUCUGGUGUGGGCAGCCCAGCACUUCCCACUGCCCCCUGCCUGUGAUGUCCACUCUGCUUAAGCCUUUCAUCUGCCGCUGAAGGCCCCAGUCUGGACUCUCUGCCCUCUGGGUCCCCGAGCUCUGCAGCGAGCCCUGGGACCAUUCAUCCCUGCCCAGCCAGCUUCAGUGCCCGGGGCCGCUUGUCCCUGCCCGGCCUCUGUGCCCCAACUGUGCUUGGUCCUCUGGCUUCUCUCCUCCUGCUGGAGCGCCAGUCCCUGAGCUCAGACCCCCGUCCCCGGAACUGGGCCACACCACGUGCCCUCUUGGCCCAGCCUUCCUCCCAGAGAGGCGGCCCGACUUACCUGGAUGGACUUGAGACAAAGAUUCCUCAGGACCUUGGACACCACCACCUGCUGAGCUUCCUGCACCAGCCACGCGGUGGGGCCCCUGGGGUGCCCUCGGCAGCUUCAGUCCAGCCUGCAUCUGCCCCUCGGCUUUCCGACGUGGGCGGUGGGCCCCAGCCCCACACACCAGCCCGGCAUUCAGGCUGGUAGAGCAGAUCACCCCCAAAGCAAGAAGUUCCAGAUGAAAUAUGCAUAAGAAGCAACCUCAAAACUAACAAAAAAGAUUCGCACAUUCCUCAGUUAGAGGAGGAGCAGAGAUGAAGAAAAGGAGAAGAAAAGCGCUGGAAAGAGAAGAAAAGGAACCUCCUUCUGUGCAGCAGGCUCCUGGCCCAGGGAGUGCGGUGUGCGGCAGAGUGCGUGCAGGGAAGCUGUGAAGUCGUGCAGGGAAGCACCCUGUGAAGUCGUGUAGGGAAGCACCCUGUGAAAUCGUGCAGGGAAGCACCCUCUGAAAUCGUGCAGGGAAGCACCUUCUGAAAUCGUGCAGGGAAGCACCCUGUGAAGUCGUGCAGGGAAGCACCCUGUGAAGUCGUGCAGGGAAGCACCCUCUGAAAUCGUGCAGGGAAGCACCCUCUGAAGUCGUGCAGGGAAGCACCCUCUGAAGUCGUGCAGGGAAGCACCCUCUGAAGUCGUGCAGGGAAGCACCCUCUGAAGUGCAGGGAAGCACCCUCUGAAGUCGUGCAGGGAAGCACCUUCUGAAAUCGUGCAGGGAAGCACCCUGUGAAAUCGUGCAGGGAAGCACCCUCUGAAGUCGUGCGGGGAAGCACCCUGUGAAAUCCUGCGGGGAAGCACCCUGUGAAAUCCUGCAGGGAAGCACCCUGUGAAUUCGUGCAGGGAAGCACCCUGUGAAAUCCUGCAGGGAAGCACCCUGUGAAGUCGUGCAGGGAAGCACCUUCUGAAAUUGUGCAGGGAAGCACCCUGUGAAAUCGUGCAGGGAAGCACCCUGUGAAAUCGUGCAGGGAAGCACCCUGUGAAGUCGUGCAGGGAAGCACCCUGUGAAGUCGUGCAGGGAAGCACCUUCUGAAAUUGUGCAGGGAAGCACCCUCUGAAAUUGUGCAGGGAAGCACCCUCUGAAAUGCCUAGAAAUAGCUGCCGGGCUUUCACUUGGUUCCCAAAUUUCUUCAAAGGUCAAAACCAUCACAGUGGGCAACUUUACACCAGUGACCCCAGUGUUCACUGUCCUGAGGCCACUGCAGAGCCAUCCUAGUGGGGCAGUGGGCGCAGGGCGGGGACUCCUGACUCCGGUGAGGUCACCCUGGAGGGGAGUCCCAGGAAUCAGCCUGAUGUUCAGAAUGCCUUCCUGGCAUCUCAGAAGUGUACCGGGGGAGACGUGAGGACCUUUCAGCCAAGUGUCAGCGUUCUUAUUGCAGGAGAACAUUAAAGCCACAACCCAGAAACUUCUCAGGAGCAUGGCGCACCCACACCAGCCCCGGGCUUCGCCUGGACAGCACCUCCUGGGCCUCCCUGACCAGCAGACACCAUCCUUCCAGCCUCUCUUGGCCACCCGGACCAGCAGGCACCACCCUCCCAGCCUCACGUGGCCACCCUGACCAGCAGGCACCAUCCUUCCAGCCUUGCUCAGUCACCCUGACCCAGAGGGCUGCCCUGACCAGCGGGCACCAUCCUCCCAGCCCCACUUGGCCAGCCGAGCUCUGUAGGCCUCAGAGUGCAGAGAAUCUUGAAUGUUGUGACUUUGCUCUGCUGCAGGGACCUGCCAUGGAGUGUCCCUUGUGCGAGCAUUUUGAGAGCUAUGCCAGCAUCCGUCCCCGCAGGCCCCAUCCCUGAGCCAUUUCUCAGGAGAGCAGGAAGGGAGCAGGGAGAGGGGCGCUCCCAGCCAGCCCCGGAACCAGAGGUCUGGGGACGCAGCCGGCCAGCCCUCGUUGUCUGGGCUUCUGUUUCCUCUUCGACACAGGGAAGCAGGGAGGGGCCGAUCAGCGACUUAGGCCUGUUGGCUGUGGUAGGGUCCACCUGCGUUUCUGGGGAGCCCACGGACCCUGGGGUGUACCUGGGUUUCAUUCCCAGUGAUCUCUCUUAUUGGUCCCCAUUUGGGGCGCUGAGAUGUGAUCGUUUCUUUCCUGUGAAUGAGCUGAGGUAAAAACAUGCUGGGGAGGAAGAUGGGCCCUGGGGGCAGCGAGCUGCGCCUCUGCACCGGGAGAAAGGCCGUGUCCCCAGAGCUGAGGCGGUGGUGGGCAGGGCUCCUGUGAAGCCGGGGCAAGGCAGGGUGUCUCUGAGGUCAGUGAGGAACAGCUGAGGUCCAGGGACGCGGGAAGGAUGGAGUGAACUCCGGGAUGGGGCCGGCAGGGAGCCUCAUGCUUACAGAGCCUGGUGUCAGCACUCUCCUGGUUUCCUCCGCAAACCUAGCCACGUGGUCAGGGAGCCCGGGCCUAGCAGACGGCCCCCACCUUGACAGAAUCCCCAGGGUCGUGCGUGGUGGUGGGGGUGACUUCACAGCCGAGACCGGGCCUAACGCUGCUGUCCCGCAGUCACCCCUGCAGGCGGCUCAGGGCAGGGCUCCGGCCUGACGGGGGUUCCUGCACACGCCUCUGAGCCGGCAGCCCCUACCCGCACCCCUGCACCUUCCACGCCCGUCUCCGGCAGCCCCUACCUGCACCCCUGCACCUUCCACACCCGUCUCCAGCAGCCCCUACCCGCACCCCUGCACCUGCCACGCCCGUCUCCGGCAGCCCCUACCUGCACCCCUGCACCUUCCACACCCGUCUCCAGCAGCCCCUACCCGCACCCCUGCACCUGCCACACCCGUCUCUGGCAGCCCCUGCCCGCACCCGCACCCCUGCACCUCCCACGCCCGUCUCCGGCAGCCCCUGCCCGCACCCACACCCCUGCACCUCCCACGCCCGUCUCCGGCAGCCCCUGCCCGCGCCCGCACCUCUGCACCUCCCAAGCCCCUCUCUGGCAGUCCCUACCCGCACCCGCACCCCUGCACCUGCCACGCCCGUCUCCCGCAGCCCCUGCCCGCGCCCGCACUCCUGCACCUCCCACGCCCAUCUCCGGCAGUCCCUACCCGAACCCGCAACCCUGCACCUCCCACGCCCGUCUCUGGCAGCCCCUGCCCGCACCCGCACCCCUGCACCUCCCACGCCCGUUUCCGGCAGCCCCUGCCCGCACCCGCACCCCUGCACCUCCCACGGACGUCUCCAGCAGCCCCUGCCCACACCCGCACCUCUGCACCUCCCACGCCUGUCUCCGGCAGCCCCUGCCCGCACCCGCACCCCUGCACCUCCCACGGACGUCUCCAGCAGCCCCUGCCCGCACCCGCACCCCUGCACCUCCCACGGACGUCUCCAGCAGCCCCUGCCCGCACCCGCACCCCUGCACCUCCCACGCCCGUCUCCGGCAGCCCCUGCCCGCACCCGCACCCCUGCACCUCCCACGGACGUCUCCAGCAGCCCCUGCCCGCACCCGCACCCCUGCACCUCCCACGCCCGUCUCUGGCAGCCCCUGCCCGCACCCGCGCCCCUGCACCUCCCACGCCCGUCUCCGGCAGCCCCUGCCUGCAUCCGCACCCCUGCACCUGCCACGCCCGUCUCCGGCGGCCCCUGCCUGCACCCGCACCCCUCACGGCUGUCUCCGGCAGCCCCUGCCCACGCCCGCACCUCUGCACCUCCCACGCCCCUCUCCGGCAGUCCCUACCCGCACCCGCACCUCCCACGCCUGUCUCCGACAGCCCCUGCCCACACCCGCACCCCUGCACCUCCCACGCCCGUCUCCGGCAGCCCCUGUCCGCACCCACACCCCUCACGGCUGUCUCCGGCAGCCCCUGCCCGUGCCCGCACGUCUGCACCUCCCACGCCCCUCUCCGGCAGUCCCUACCCGGACCCGUACCCCUGCACCUCCCACGCCCGUCUCUGGCAGCCCCUACCCGCACCCGCGCCCCUGCACCUCCCACGCCCAUCUCCGGCAGCCCCUGCCCACAACCGCACCCGCACCGCUGCACCUCCCACGCCCGUCUGCGGCAGCCCCUGCCCGCACCCACGUCCCUGCACCUCCCACGCCCGUCUCCGGCAGCCCCUGCCCGCACCCGCACCCCUGCACCUCCCACGCCCGUCUCCGGCAGCCCCUGCCCGCACCCGCACCCCUGCACCUCCCACGCCCGUCUCCGGCAGCCCCUGCCCGCACCCGCACCCCUGCACCUCCCACGCCCGUCUCCGGCAGCCCCUGCCCGCACCCGCACCCCUGCACCUCCCACGCCCGUCUUGCCCUGGGGCCCAGGUGCAGGUCUGUGAGGAGGGCAGCCCCGUGCUCCCAUGGCCACCGCUCAGCCAAGUGGAUUCAGCGAGGGUUUUCAGUGUUUGCGCCUGUGUCCCCAUGUGCCUGUUUCCUGGUGAGGCUGGACGCCUGGCAUGUCUGAACACUCACAUUCCCCAGGCAUGCAUGUGCAGCUGCCGCCGCCACCCAUGUACUGUGGCGCUGACCCCUCCUGUAACAGCUGUGAUCUUGGCCUCUCGUGUUGGUGGCAGAUGUCCCAUUUCCCCAUUACUUUCUGUUGUCCAAAAGUUUAACUGUCCUGCCAGCCAAAGCUGCUGAGCAUUACUCUGAUAGACCAUCAGUCCUUGGUAAGUGUCCUGUGCAUCUGGGAUAAGCAUCCGUUUAUUUUCAGCUGCGCUUUCUGUGACUUGCUCUGCGUGUGUCCUCGGUCCACGUGGGCCGUUGCGCUGGUUCCCAGCCUGCCCGACACACUCACUGCGACGCCUCCCUUGCCUACUGCUUGCUGGCUUCUGUGUUCUCUGCAGUAAACAUUGAUUUCUGA